CGGCCGUACCAUGCUGAAUAUACCGGUUCUCGUUAGAUCACCGAAGUCAAGCAUCAUUGGGCGCGGUCAGUACUUGGGUGGGUGACCACCUGGGAACACCGCGUGCCGUU
rnacentral:rRNA from 1 species